rnacentral:misc_RNA from 1 species
UGCUGGAGUUGACGUGCCAGGAGUGAAUAAGAAAACAGAGACUAAAACGGAGGUUGUUGUUAACUUAGUAGAGGACUCUGGGAAGGCUAUGGAAGAAGAUUUCACUGGUAUGAUGGAGGGUCCCGCAAUGGUGGAUAAGGGACGUGGUAGAGGAAACAAAGGAGGAGGCUGCUGACACUGCAGAAGAGGCAGAGAUGGCUCACAUGUCAGAGGAAA